UGCGCAUAAAUCAGAAUGAAACGGAGCAUUCAAGAUAAAAAACAGACGAACAACUACAGCACUUUAGGGCAUGUUAAGAGUUUGCAUUCAACAGCUCUUAAAUGUGUGUACGUGUAUGCUUAUUCAUUAUAACCAGCAGGUUAGUUUGAUCAAGUCGUUGGCCACACGCAUGCAGAGCCUCGGGAGGAUCAUAGCAUUGCAAAGCAGGACUUUUUACAGAUACUAUUACAUAGAAUAUAAUGAUGUGCAUAUGUAUGUGCAGUAGCAAAAACAGCGUAUCUUCAUUUCAUUUUGUUUCUUGUCGCACACUAUUUUGUUUCCGGUUCAGUGUUCAUUGUAGGCUGUCGAUGAAGAAUUACCAGACAUGUAUUUUAGUUUGUAAAAAAAACCCAAAAAAAACCACAGCAUUUGAAACAAAAACCAGAAAGCACACAACACAGAGAGCUGGCUAAAAUAUUUAAAGCUUUUAACUAAAGAGGGCGAAUACAACUAACAAGUACAUUACGUUAUAUGCCGUUUAGAUGUUUAUGGAUUUAUGUGAAACAUGCUGUCAUCACAAUAUACAUUAUUGUAUUUGAUUUACGAAGUACUGUAGACAGAAAAGAAACAAAAGUUCCAACUCGUACUACAAAGGCAAAGGCAACAGGAUUUUUUUAUACAGGUCAUUUAUUUUUAGAAAUAUUCUAAAAUGUUACAGUUGCCAAAAACAAGUAUGUGAUCUCCAUUACCAUUGGUUCACCUUGCUGUCUCUUUGAGAUUCAUAAGCAUGUUGAAAAAUCUUGACACCAGCAACCACCAAGUUUAAUUGUAAACAUCAUAAACAGCAAAGGACAAGGUUAACACAGACUUCAAAAAUUCUUUGCUAUGCAUCAUCAACUUUUGGCUGUAGUCCUCUUCAUGUCAUUCAUCAAAAUCCAUACCCUUCAGCAGGUGGUGCUGUAGUGCAGUCCAGGCUGGUGCUUGUGAGGAGGAAUCCCAGAGGACAGAACAGGAGGAGAGGAGCGAGGGGGCCAAGAGAAGCCUGGUUUGGAAUCCUUUAGUCCCUGUCAUCCUUGUGCUAAGAACCAGCAGAAACCGGUGCGUCACAACGGCUAUGCUGAGCAGAUGGAAUUAUGUGCAGCACUAAACAGAACAUUCCAGUAGAUCUGAUACAUCGACACUCCAAGGACUUGUUAAUAAAUGCUGAUCGGAGGGGGCAUUGAUUGGUACUCGGUUGUAAAGGUGGUAAUCCUUGGUGACUGCAUUUGUGGAAGGGUGCAGAUAUUUUCACAUGAUAUGUUUGGUUGGCAAAUCAUGUUUUAACCCUUGUAAAAAUAUUUGACUGCAAUUUGUAUGCUAUGCUUUUGUUUGCCUUUAACGUCUCAGUGACUUUGAAUAAAAACCCAUUUCACUG